CCAAGCAAUCCGACAUGUGCCGCGAGAAAGGAAAUAACCACAUGUUUACCACAUAGCAUGCCGUCUCCCUCUCCUCCUCCAUCUCCAACACCUCCUCGACCUUGUUCUUCCUCAGAUCAUACGAUACGAGCUUCCAGUCCGCCCUCAGGUACGCCACCUCCCUCUCCGGAUGCAGCGCCACUACUGCUCCAUUAACGUUGACGCUGUGCUUCAGCACCCACCCACCACCGCUCGACUCGUUGUGCAUCCACACCCUGAGCCGACCGCCGUCGUUGCAGGCGUAUUGCAGACCGCCGGCGGACAUGUCGAGACGCGCCCCAUGCUUCAUGGCCUCCGGCAGCUCGAUCAGACGGCACACGCUGUCGUCGCCGAGGUCGACCGCCACGGCGUAGUUCGGGUGGGCCAGGAUAUAGAGGGUCCCCGCGAA
rnacentral:lncRNA from 1 species